CAUUAAGUGGCUGAAUG
rnacentral:tRNA from 4 species